UUUGGUUUUCCUCAAAAUACUUGGAUCCAUAUCAUUAUAGAAACCGACCCUACUCUAGAACAACAACAGAAAUAAGUUACUGGUGUACUGAAAAGAGACGAGAGCGAAUUGAGGCAGCUGGUAUCGAUUUUGAGUGCCCAGAAAUUAUUAUAUUCGCAGAUGUUGGCUGCGAUUGAUGGUUAGCUGUUGUUGUCUACAUAGAAAGAUGUCGUAAAUAUGAAAAAUGAUUGAAUGGAGAGAGCUUAUGCCAAUUUUGUAUUCAUCUCACAGAUUACAUCAAGUAUCCCUUGAAUUCAGGUUUUGGGCAAGUCAAAACCAUCCUUCCAUUACUAUCUGCUACACAAUUCUUCCUAACAUCUAUUCCUUUCAAUUUAACAUUGGACUUUCAUUUCACUUUUCACAAUCUAUUUUAUGUGCUCGUUGAUUGGUGCUCC